CCUACGGGAGGCAGCAGGGGGGGAGAGGGCACAAGGGGGGGAACCCUGAUGCAGCGACGACGCGUGGGUGAAGAAGCGCCUCGGCGCGUAAAGCCCUGUCAGCAGGGAAGAAAAUGACGGUACCUGUCGAAUAAGCCACGGCUAACUACGUGCCAGCAGCCGCGGUAAUACGUAGGUGGAAAGCGUUGUCCGGAUUUACUGGGUGUAAAGGGCGUGUAGCCGGGCUGACAAGUCAGAUGUGAACUCCGGGGGCUCAACCCCCGAACUGCAUUUGAAACUGUUGGUCUUGAGUAUCGGAGAGGCAGGCGGAAUUCCUAGUGUAGCGGUGAAAUGCGUAGAUAUUAGGAGGAACACCAGUGGCGAAGGCGGCCUGCUGGACGACAACUGACGGUGAGGCGCGAAAGCGUGGGGAGCAAACAGGAUUAGAUACCCCUGUAGUC
rnacentral:rRNA from 1 species